UACGUAGGGGCUAGCGUUAUCCGGAAUUACUGGGCGUAAAGGGUGCGUAGGUGGUUUCUUAAGUCAGAGGUGAAAGGCUACGGCUCAACCGUAGUAAGCCUUUGAAACUGGGAAACUUGAGUGCAGGAGAGGAAAGCGGAAUUCCUAGUGUAGCGGUGAAAUGCGCAGAUAUCAGGAAGAACACCAGUGGCGAAGGCGGCUUUCUAGGCCGUUACUGACGCUGAGGCGCGAAAGCUAGGGGAGCGAACAGGAUUAGAUACCCUGGUAGUCCCUGAGCGGG
rnacentral:rRNA from 1 species